rnacentral:rRNA from 1 species
AUUGAACGCUGGCGGCAGGCCUAACACAUGCAAGUCGAACGAGUGGCGGACGGGUGAGUAAUGUCUGGGAAACUGCCUGAUGGAGGGGGAUAACUACUGGAAACGGUAGCUAAUACCGCAUACCAUCGGAUGUGCCCAGAUGGGAUUAGCUAGUAGGUGGGGUAAAGGCUCACCUAGGCGACGAUCACUAGCUGGUCUGAGAGGAUGACCAGCCACACUGGAACUAGGACACGGUCCAAACUCCGAAGGGAGGCAGCAGUGGGGAAUAUUGCACAAUGGGCGUAAGCCUGAUGCAGCCAUGCCGCGUGUAUGAAGAAGGCCUUAGGGUUGUAAAGUACUUUCAGCGGGGAGGCGUUAACCGUAGAAGAAGCACCGGCUAACUCCGUGCCAGCAGCCGCGGUAAUUC